GGUAUAUGUGGUGUAUAGGGUAUUUAUAUGGUGUUAUAUGUGGUGUAUAGGGUAUUUAUGAGGUGGUAUAUGUGGUGUAUAGGGUAUUUAUAUGGUGUUAUAUGUGGUGUAUAGGGUAUUUAUGAGGUGGUAUAUGUGGUGUAUAGGGUAUUUAUAAGGUGUUAUAUGUGGUGUAUAGGGUAUUUAUGAGGUGGUAUAUGUGGUGUAUAGGGUAUUUAUAUGGUGUUAUAUGUGGUGUAUAGGGUAUUUAUGAGGUGUUAUAUGUGGUGUAUAGGGUAUUUAUAAGGUGUUAUAUGUGGUGUAUAGGGUAUUUAUAAGGUGUUAUAUGUGGUGUAUAGGGUAUUUAUGAGGUGGUAUAUGUGGUGUAUAGGGUAUUUAUAAGGUGUUAUAUGUGGUGUAUAGGGUAUUUAUGAGGUGGUAUAUGUGGUGUAUAGGGUAUUUAUAUGGUGUUAUAUGUGGUGUAUAGGGUAUUUAUGAGGUGGUAUAUGUGGUGUAUAGGGUAUUUAUAUGGUGUUAUAUGUGGUGUAUAGGGUAUUUAUAAGGUGGUAUAUGUUGUAUAUAUGGUUUAUAUGGUGUUAUUUGUGGUAUAUGUGGUAUAUAGCCGUGGUGUACGGGUGCAGGCAGCGGUGUUGGUGGCGGUGGUGGUGUCGGGUGCUGUUCAUUGUUCCGGAGAGCCCCGCAGCCUCCGGCCUGGCUACACAAAGCUCUUGUGUGUAGAUUAAUAUUCAUAGCGCCGCGGCGGCAGCGGCCAGAGCGCGAGAGGAGGAGGAACGGGUGGCUCUUUUGUUUGCCUGUGUCAAUACGUUUAUUCAGCAAAAAGCCCUCAGAGCUCCCGGCCUCGCUCGAUCAGCGCGAGAGGAUAACGACGUAACCGCCGCACCGUACGCCCAGUUACACAGCUUUAAUAUGGAAAUAUAUUAAUCACACUGAAGCACCUAAUGACCUGGCGUGGGAGAUCUGAGGUUUUUGAAGUGUUUUAGUGAUGGAGGAUAAAUAAUCCCGUGUUCUGUGGUGAAUAAAGGGAGGCAGGGUUUAGCCACGCCCUGUUUCAGCACUCUGGAGAGCACCAGAGUAUUGCGUCCAAUAUUACCAUCACAGUGUUUCUGUAUAUAUAUAUUUUAUAUUUUUAUUGAGUGAUAUUUUAAUAUUUAUGGUGUUGCAUUAAAGCUGCAUUAAAGCCGAUAAGGUUUAAUAUAAAUAUAUUAUUAAUAUAUAUUUUAAAAUACAUCCACAUAUAUAAAUAGUUCAAUCACUUUUAUCAUGCAUCAUGCAUAAUUUUCAUGCAUUGCUGGUAAAAAUAAAAUAAUGAAAUGUUUCUAUAGUAAGUAAAAGAGCAGUGGUUGUGUGUUGGUGACUCUGUGGUGACUCUGUGGGUUGCCGUGGCGACUCUGUGGUGUUGAGCUGGCGUUGUGAUCCGGUAAUCCGUGGUGAAAGUGUAUCUAAUGCCCUUUGUUUAGGAUAAUCCUGUAAUCUGGGUUAGUGAGACGCCUUAUUGCUCACGUCUCCGUCAGGAGGCCAGACAGACCUGAAUAUCUCAAUACAGCUCACUUUAUCUCAGGAUAUAUCCUUAUUUCUCAGUAUAUACCACUAUAUCUCAGGAAAUCUCAGUAAAUACCUUAAUAUGUCUUAGGAUAUUUCAGGAUAUAGAAUAUAUCUGUUUAUAUCUGAGCAUAUUUCAGUGUUUAUCUCAGUAUAUAUCAGGAUAUCUUUGCUUAUAUCUUGGUAUAUAUCGAUAUACUUCAGUAUAUCUUGGUAUAUCUAAUUAUAUAUAAGUAUAUCUGGGUAUAUAUUGGUCUAUUUUGGUAUAUCUCGAUUUAUCCUAGUAUAUCUGGGUAUAUAUUAAUAUUUCUAGGUAUAUAUUGCUAUAUGUGGGUAUAUAUCUGGAUAGAUGUGGGUAUAUAUUGGUAUAUCUGAGUAUAUGUGGGUAUUUGUGGAUAUAUGUUGGUAUAUAUUGGUAUAUGUGGGUAUAUAUUGGUAUGUGUGUGUAUAUCUGGGUGUAUAUUGGUAUAUGUGGGUAUAUAUCUGGAUAUAUGUGUGUGUAUAUAUUUGCAUAUAUAUCGUAAAUCUGAGUAUAUUUGUGUAUAUAUUGGUAUAUCUCAGUAUUGCUGGGUAUAUGUUGGUAUAUAUUGGUAUAAUAUUGGAUUAUCUGGGUAUAUAUCUGAAAAAUGUGGGUGUAUAUUGGUAUAUCUGAGUAUAUGUGGGUAUAUAUUGAUAUAUGUGGAUAUAUAUUGGUAUAUGUGGGUAUAUUUCGUUGUAAAUUAAGGCGUGGUGAGGCAGCGUGGUGUUUGGGGGGAGGGGGUGAGGCAGGAUUGGGUCAGAAAGCAGAAAAUGGCUUCCUCUGCGUGGCGUCGCCGGGGUCCUCGCGGGGCUCUGGUGGUGCGGUGGUGAAGCUGCAGGGUCUGACUGAUCUACAUUACAGCUGAACAUCCCAUAAUCCCUGCUGUGAUUUAUAUUUCCCCUCAUAUAUCUCACACUGAA